UAUUGGAUCCAUUGGGCCCGAUUUUAGUGUGGAACGGGAAUGCAAGUAGCUUUGUGCGCAGAUCUCUGGCGCUGUUGCUAUUAUACCGGAUAAAUGACUCUUGCGCCCGACGCAACUCUAAAAAGGGUUGGUCUGAAUACCCGUAGGUGUGUUUUGGGCUUAGCAUGCAAUAAACCAAUGUGAGUUUGAUUUCCCAUCUCCUUUAGGAGCCAUGAGCACAUUUGAACUUGACGAGUUGAUAUUUCGACAGGGCGUUUGCGGUCUCCGCUGAGACAGAUGCAUGACCACAUGAAUUGUGAUGCCGCGGCUCAUUGGUGCGCCCUCACGCGUCCUCGUUGUGGCCACACCAAACUUUUCUAUGCUGUUUUAGUCAACUAUGGACUUGUGUUCAUAGUAUGCAUGUGUCCCCCCGUUAAUAUACAUUGCCAUGGACAGUAAUAUACGCUAGGUGUUUGGUUUGCGUGUGUUUAAACAGAUGGGUGCACACAUAUUGUUGAACUGCGCUCAAAACAUCAACCACAUUCAUUCAUUCUUUUAAACACUCACUCACGCUAAAACUAUGUUUUUUCAUCAAUCUUAAAAGUUAUGGCCUUGUACACGAUGUGUGUCAAUGGAUAACCUGUUAUAUGGAUAUGCCUGUUGAAUCCCGUCCUCUGUUUUUAUUUGUUGUUAUUUGUAGGUAUUCCUGAACCAAAACUAUGUGAAAUUAACCAUCCUCUGUCGGUCGGCCUUCAUCAUUUCCAUCAUCAUUCUGAUAAUCUUUUAUUGCUGGAGGAAAAAGAAGCAUCAUACAGAAAACCUUGAUUCUGAACAGAGUUCAAACUGUGACCAAGCUGCCGCCAUCUAUAUGAAUGUGAGUCUGUUAGGACCCCCUCCUCUCCCUUUGGAGCCCACUCACAUAGAACUCAACCCCAUAAGCACCUAGGAGGCUCUAUGGGAGACAUUGACUGUAGGUUUAAACUUCUGCUGCCCCUGAGAUGAACCACGGUUACUGAGCUGAC